rnacentral:rRNA from 1 species
GACGAACGCUGGCGGCGUGCUUAACACAUGCAAGUCGAACGGAAAGGCCUGCUUUCCCUUGUGGAUUGCGGGUACUCGAGUGGCGAACGGGUGAGUAACACGUGAGUGAUCUGCCCCCAACUUGGGUAUAAGCCUGGGAAACUGGGUCUAAUUCCCGAUAGGACUGCAGGGUGGUGCCUGUGGUGGAAAACGAUUUUCUAGUGGUUGGGGAUGAGCUCGCGGCCUAUCAGCUUGUUGGUGGGGUAAUGGCCUACCAAGGCGGCGACGGGUAGCCGGCCUGAGAGGGUGGACGGCCACAUUGGGACUGAGAUACGGCCCAGACUCCUACGGGAGGCAGCAGUGGGGAAUAUGGCACAAUGGGCGGAAGCCUGAUGCAGCGACGCCGCGUGGGGGAUGACGGCCUUCGGGUGGUAAACUCCUUUCGACCGCGAGGAAGCCACCUGGUUGGAAGGGUGGUGACGGUAGUGGUAGAAGAAGCACCGGCUAACUACGUG